AAACUGUGUGCAUCCGAGUUGAGGUAGUAGGUUGUAUGGUUUAGAAUUACAUCGUGGGAGUUAACUAUACAACCUUCUAGCUUUCCUUGGAGUACACUCAAGCCAUC
ensembl:miRNA mirlet7c-1 microRNA let-7c